rnacentral:lncRNA from 1 species
AUCAGAAAUAAUUUAAAUAUUUCCAAAUGUCAUCCAAUUUUGCAGUUGCAAAAGAAUUAACACCUAUAGGUAUUUAUAAUGUACAUCGUAUAAAAUUUCUGAAUAAUUUUUAAAUAUGCACUUCCUUCUUUCCCUCGAUAAGAACAAAUAUGCGAUCGUGACUGGAAAACACGUUCUUGGCGCGAAACGUUAUCGUUCGCUCGAAUCAACGUGUACACAAGAGCCAUCAGAGUUUGGCCAUUGUCAAGGGGCAACGAUGCGUGCUCGCUACGACGCCAAACGUUCCGGAAACGUGGCAAGGAUGAAAGGAGAGAGAGUUUGGCGAGUCCAAGGAGGAGAGACUCGCCGGUGCACCGGUUCCAGAUUUACGUUCGACCCGUGAAAGACACGGGAAACGUGCUCGUGUGUGACCCAGAUCGCUAACGAGACGUUUCGUUGAUUAAAUAAUGGGAGCCCAUUGCGGAUUCGUGAGCGGAUAAGAUGGUCGAAAGUUGCUCUGAAUCGAGGCGAGCGAUGAUUUUGUCGAGCGUUUUGCUCGAUAAAUGAUCACGACCAUCCUUUACCUCGUCGAACAGGAAAGUUGUGCACCUUUUCUUUUUUUAAAUAAUGCAGAGGUCAUUACAGGAUGAAGAGGAACGAUGAUGCCGAUGACUUCCGGGAUUUAACUUUCUUUGGAAAGUGUCUUCUAUGUUAUCUUUUAAGAAAGGUGAAAAUUUAGGAUUAUGAAAGGGGUAAGAUGGAGGAUUUUUCGCUAUAAAAUUUUAUGAUUAAUCUCUGGUCAUUCUGAUAUCUUUGCUAUAAAUUUUAUCAAAUAGUGUAUGUAGUAUUUGACAUAUGUAAUUUAUGCCGUAAUUUUUCCUUCAAUUCAGAAUAUUUGAUUGAUGAUAUGUAAUCUAUCAAAUUCAAACUUAAAUGUAUUAAGAUGACUGAAACACAAUUAUGAAUUUACAAAUACGAAUACGAAUAUAUGUGCAUGAGAAUAGUAGUAGAGAAGAAAGUACAUAUUAGAAGAGGAAUUAGAAAGUGAAUGAAAAUCAUUAACUUUAAUGUGAAAAAUUAUCGUUCAUAGGUAAAGAUUCGAUUUCAAAUUUCGAUUUCAAGCUGUCCAAUUACUCGAUAUAAUGUCAUAAUUGAAGAAACGUGGAACUAAAUGAUACUCGAUAAAGACACAAGAAAUAUUGUUGUAAUAGGUGCGUUAAAUUAGUCAUGUCUUUCGAAUUACAACGUGAAAGGAAACGAACCAAUGAUAGAUAUCAUUCAGUCGCAUGUUUAUAUUUAACGGUACAGGUAAUUACGAUCAAUACAACUGCGACACCUUAUACUUGUACGUUUAACGGUACAUGUAAUUACGCGUAGCAGAAAUAGUGCAUUUCUACUGUCUAAAAUACAAUAAUACUACCCAAAUAUCGAACUUAUGUAUCUCUAUAAUUUGAAAAUCUUUAUAAGACUAAAAUUUUCUUUAUUCAUGUCGUCAAACAUUGUAUCAUAUAUUUAUAGAAGACUCGUAACAGAUAAGGACCUAUAAAAUUUGUGAAAUAAUAGAUAGCUAUCAGCUGAUAAAAUCAGAUGUACUAUAGAAUUUAUGAAUUUGAAUCAGAUAUGAACAAAUAAUGAAUAACUUCUGUUACCUAUGUUUCAUAAAGUUCAAGUUUACGACAAGUUACGUGUUGUUAAAUUAUUGAGAGUAAUAAACAGACAAAACUAUCUGACAAUAAUA